rnacentral:rRNA from 1 species
CCUACGGGAGGCAGCAGUGGGGAAUAUUGGGCAAUGGGCGCAAGCCUGACCCAGCAACGCCGCGUGAAGGAAGAAGGCCUUCGGGUUGUAAACUUCUUUUCUCAGGGACGAAGAAAGUGACGGUACCUGCGGACUAAGCUACGGCUAACUACGUGCCAGCAGCCGCGGGAAUACGUAGGUGGCAAGCGUUAUCCGGAUUUAUUGGGUGUAAAGGGCGUGUAGGCGGGAGGGUAAGUCAGAUGUGAAAACCCCGGGCUCAACCCUGGGCCUGCAGUUGAAACUGGGUUUCUUGAGUGGGAGAGAGGCAAUCGGAAUGCGGGGUGUAGCGGUGAAAUGCGUAGAUAUACGGAGGAACACCAGUGGCGAAGGCAGAUUGCUGGA